AGACAGUAGCUAAACAAGUAAAUGUUUUGAAAACAUUUGAUAAAGUCUGGUCUAAUUUAUUAAUUU
rnacentral:tRNA from 1 species